rnacentral:tRNA from 1 species
AUUUAUAUAGUUUAAAUAAAACAUUACAUUUUCAUUGUAAAAUUGAAAUUUUUUCUAUAAAUAUUUAAAAAU